rnacentral:tRNA from 1 species
GUCUCGGAUAGCUUAACUAGAGAGCCCUUGGCGCGUAACCGAGAGAUCUGGGUUCGAUUCUCAGUCUGGGCU